rnacentral:rRNA from 1 species
UACGUAGGGUGCGAGCGUUAAUCGGAAUUACUGGGCGUAAAGCGUGCGCAGGCGGUAAUGUAAGACAGAUGUGAAAGCCCCGGGCUUAACCUGGGAAUGGCCGUCGAAACUGGCGAACUGGAGUGUGGCAGAGGGGGGUGGAAUUCCGCGUGUAGCAGUGAAAUGCGUAGAGAUGCGGAGGAACACCGAUGGCGAAGGCGGUUCUCUGGGCAUGUCCUGACGCUGAGGAGCGAAAGUGUGGGGAGCGAACAGG